AUCACUUUGAGACAGGAUGCUCCUGAUUUUUGCAAUAUUGUGCAGGUGAACUAUCUAGUCUGGAUUUAUCUGAUUCAGUUCCAGGUCUUUUAAUCAUUUUAAUGGAGUAGGCCGAGUCUGAUUUCGAGGAAAUAAAUCAUACAAGCAUUAGAGAAUUUGCUGCAAUACGAAGCACAAGUAUACUAUAUUAUUAAGUAGGCCAUUAAAAUAAUGUAUGGUAAAAAUACAUUCACGCUGCCAACGCGUAAAAAAUCUAAAGAAGAAGAAGAGGAGUAAAUAACAAACGAAAAAGAAGAAGGUUUGCUGAAGUUGAUUUGCGCACCUGUUGAGUUUUGUUGCCUUCAACAUUAAGACUAGGACUCACGGUAGUAAACCACGUUUAAACGAAUAUCAGAUACAUUGUGUGCUAAGCAUGUAACGAAAAAGGGCUUUAAAAAUCGGAUGAAACAUAUUUAGACUAAUUAAUUCAUCAACAGACCACCCACCUGUUCAGGUGAAAGACUUCCUGAACAAUUGUAGUCCAGAACCAGGACCAGGAGCUGGAAUAACAGAGGUGAAAAGGUGACGUUUCCCAUCUACCAUGCCGACGUGACCAAACGAGUGUACCCAUCGGCUGAGUAACUGCUGAGGGUGGUGGUGUUCCCAUCUGUGAAUCCUUCUGGAAUGUGGAGUAUGUGACUGAGAACCCGCUACAGUGAACUGAUGACUCUCACCGGUCAGUACAUUAAAUUCAUCAUGGAUACAUUACGCCGCCUAGAGGAUGAUGAGGUAAAGGCUGAGCAGUGAAGCACUGUACCAGAGUCGUCAGCAUCCUGAUCCUCAAUGAGACCCUCAGGCACCCCCAUCUCCAU